rnacentral:rRNA from 1 species
CGUGAGUGAAGAAGGCCUUCGGGUUGUAAAGCUCUUUCGGCCGGAACGAAAUCGGGCGCGUGAAUAACGCGUCUGGAUGACGGUACUGGAAGAAGAAGCACCGGCUAACUACGUGCCAGCAGCCGCGGUAAUACGUAGGGUGCGAGCGUUAAUCGGAAUUACUGGGCGUAAAGCGUGCGUAGGCGGUUUUGUAAGUCAGAUGUGAAAUCCCCGGGCUUAACCUGGGAACUGCGUUUGAAACUACGGAGCUAGAGUGUGGCAGAGGGGGGUGGAAUUCCACGUGUAGCAGUGAAAUGCGUAGAUAUGUGGAGGAACACCGAUGGCGAAGGCAACCCCCUGGGCCAACACUGACGCUGAGGCACGAAAGCGUGGGGAGCAAACAGGAUUAGAUACCCUGGUAGUCCACGCCCUAAACGAUGUCAACUAGUUGUCGGAGGGGGUGACCUCUUUG